GCGGCGUGCCUAAUACAUGCAAGUCGAACGGAGAUUAAGUAGCUUGCUAUUUAAUCUUAGUGGCGCACGGGUGAGUAAUAUAUAGCUAACUUGCCCAUUACUAAGGGACAACAGUUGGAAACGACUACUAAUACCUUAUACUCCGUAUCUAUAUAAGUAGAUACGGGAAAGUUUUUCGGUAAUGGAUAGGGCUAUAUCGUAUCAGCUAGUUGGUAAGGUAAUGGCUUACCAAGGCUAUGACGCGUAACUGGUCUGAGAGGAUGAUCAGUCACACUGGAACUGAGACACGGUCCAGACUCCUACGGGAGGCAGCAGUAGGGAAUAUUGCUCAAUGGGGGAAACCCUGAAGCAGCAACGCCGCGUGGAGGAUGACACUUUUCGGAGCGUAAACUCCUUUUCUUGGGAAAGAAUUAUGACG
rnacentral:rRNA from 1 species